ACAAGCGGUGGAUGAUGUGGUUUAAUUCGUAUGCAACGCGAAAACCUUACCACCUUUGACAUGUACGGAAUCCUUUAGAGAUAGAGGAGUGCUCGAAAGAGAACCGUAACACAGGUGCUGCAUGGCUGUCGUCAGCUCGUGUCGUGAGAUGUUGGGUUAAGUCCCGCAACGAGCGCAACCCUUGUCAUUAGUUGCUACAUUCAGUUGGGCACUCUAAUGAGACUGCCGGUGACAAACCGGAGGAAGGUGGGGAUGACGUCAAGUCCUCAUGGCCCUUAUAGGUGGGGCUACACGCGUCAUACAAUGGAUGGUACAAAGGGUCGCCAACCCGCGAGGGGGAGCCAAUCCCAUAAAGCCAUUCGUAGUCCGGAUCGCAGUCUGCAACUCGACUGCGUGAAGUCGGAAUCGCUAGUAAUCGUGGAUCAGAAUGUCACGGUGAAUACGUUCCCGGGUCUUAC
rnacentral:rRNA from 1 species